rnacentral:rRNA from 1 species
UAAGGAAUAUUGGACAAUGGAGGCAACUCUGAUCCAGCCAUGCCGCGUGAAGGAAUAAGGCCCUAUGGGUUGUAAACUUCUUUUAGACGGGACAAAACCCCUUUACGUGUAAAGGGUUGAUGGUACUGUCAGAAUAAGCAUCGGCUAACUUCGUGCCAGCAGCCGCGGUAAUACGAAGGAUGCAAGCGUUAUCCGGAAUUAUUGGUUUUAAAGGGUGCGUAGGCGGACUAAUAAGUCAGUGGUGAAAGCCUGCAGCUUAACUGCAGAAUUGCCAUUUAUACUGUUAGUCUUGAGUACAGUUGAGGUCGGCGGAAUGUGACAUGUAGCGGUGAAUUGCUUAGAUAUGACACAGAACACCAGUUGCGAAGGCGGGCUCUUGGUCCGACACUGACGCGGAGUCGCGAAAGCG